UACGAAGGGGGCUAGCGUUGUUCGGAAUCACUGGGCGUAAAGCGCACGUAGGCGGAUUUUUAAGUCAGGGGUGAAAUCCCGAGGCUCAACCUCGGAACUGCCUUUGAUACUGGAGAUCUUGAGUCUGAAAGAGGUAAGUGGAACUGCGAGUGUAGAGGUGAAAUUCGUAGAUAUUCGCAAGAACACCAGUGGCGAAGGCGGCUUACUGGUCCGGAACUGACGCUGAGGUGCGAAAGCGUGGGGAGCAAACAGG
rnacentral:rRNA from 1 species